rnacentral:rRNA from 1 species
AUUGAACGCUGGCGGCAUGCCUUACACAUGCAAGUCGAGCGGCAGCGCGGGGGCAACCCUGGCGGCGAGCGGCGAACGGGUGAGUAAUACAUCGGAACGUGUCCUGUCGUGGGGGAUAACCAGUCGAAAGAUUGGCUAAUACCGCAUGACCUCGUAAGAGAAAAGCGGGGGAUCGCAAGACCUCGCGCGAUUGGAGCGGCCGAUGUCGGAUUAGCUAGUUGGCGGGGUAAAAGCCCACCAAGGCGACGAUCCGUAGCUGGUUUGAGAGAACGACCAGCCACACUGGGACUGAGACACGGCCCAGACUCCUACGGGAGGCAGCAGUGGGAAAUUUUGGACAAUGGGGGCAACCCUGAUCCAGCCAUGCCGCGUGUGUGAAGAAGGCCUUCGGGUUGUAAAGCACUUUCGGCCGGAACGAAAUCGCGCGGGUGAACAUCCCGCGUGGAUGACGGUACCGGAAGAAGAAGCACCGGCUAACUACGUGCCAGCAGCCGCCGUAA